UACGGAGGGAGCAAGCGUUACUCGGAAUUAUUGGGCGUAAAGGGCACGUAGGCGAUUUGAAAAGUCUUGUGUGAAAGCCCCGAGCUUAACUCGGGAAGUGCACAAGAAACUGUUGAAUUUGAGUUCCGGAGAGGAAGGCAGAAUUCCCGGUGUAGCGGUGAAAUGCGUAGAUAUCGGGAGGAAUACCAGUGGCGAAGGCGGCCUUCUGGACGGAUACUGACGCUGAGGCGCGAAAGCGUGGGGAGCGAACAGG
rnacentral:rRNA from 1 species